rnacentral:rRNA from 1 species
ACAGUUCUUAUCCUAGCCUAACCCCCUUUGACCAUAAAAAUCAAUAAACUUCAACUAAAACCGAUUAAAACAUUUUUUACCUUUAGUAUAUGCGAAAAAAAAAGAAACCAGAGCAAUAGAGAUAGUACCGCAAGGGAAAGGUGAAAUAGUAAUGAAAUAAUAUACAACAUAAAAAAGCAAAGAUUAAAUCUUAUACCUUUGCAUCAUGGCCUAACAAGUCUAACCAGGCAAAAUGGAAUUCUAGUCUGACCCCCCGAAACUAAGUGAGCUACUCCGAAGCACUUAAAUAACCCGUCUCUGUGGCAAAAGAGUGGGUAGACUUCCGAGUAGAGGCGAAAAACCUAUCGAACUUAGUGAUAGCUGGUUGCUCAAGAAAAGAAUUUUAGUUCUGUCUUAAAAAAUUUAAACACUUAAAGUAUAUUUUAAGAAUUAUUCAAUUAGGGUACAGCCUAAUUGAAAUAGGAUACAACCUAAAUUUUAGGAUAAUGAUUAAACCUAAAAAAGUUAAAGGUUAAGUUGGCUUAAAAGCAGCCAUCUUUUAAAAAGCGUCAAAGCUUGACCUUAUACCCACUUUUAUCUUAUUAAUUUUUCAAAAUCCAAUAUUACUACUGAGCUAUUCUAUACUUUUAUAGAAGUAUUAAUGUUAGGACUAGUAACUAGAAUUAUUUCUCUUCCAUGUAAGUAAAAAUCAGUUCGAAUACCUCACUGAUAACUACCCAGAUUUGAAUAUAAAGUAAUUUUGAAAUUUACCCAUGAAAAUACUACUUUUUCUUCUGUUAACCUUACACAAGAAUAUGCAAGAAAGAUUUAAAGACUAAGAAGGAACUCGGCAAACACUAGUCUCGCCUGUUUACCAAAAACAUCGCCUUUUGAAAAUUAUAAAAGGUAACGCCUGCCCAGUGACAUUGUUUAACGGCCGCGGUAUUCUGACCGUGCGAAGGUAGCGUAAUCACUUGUCUUUUAAAUAAAGACUUGUAUGAAUGGCAUCACGAAGACUUAACUGUCUCCCUAGUCCUAUCAGUGAAACUGAUCUUCCCGUGCAAAAGCGGGAAUAAAACCAUAAGACGAGAAGACCCUAUGGAGCUUAAAACUAAAACCUAGCUAUACUAUCUAUUAAAAUUAAUUAAUACUAUAUCUAUAUAGACUUAGCCAAAGUUUUCAGUUGGGGUGACUGUGGAGAAAAACUAAUCCUCCAUGUAGAAUUAAGCUUUGAGCUACUACUCUUAUCAUUAGCAAGUCUAACUUUACUUGAUCCAAUAAUUUUGAUCAACGGACCAAGUUACCCUAGGGAUAACAGCGCAAUCCAUUUCAAGAGUCCAUAUCGACAAAUGGGUUUACGACCUCGAUGUUGGAUUAGGACAUCCUAGUGGUGCAGCCGCUACUAAC